rnacentral:rRNA from 1 species
GACGAACGCUGGCGGCGUGCCUAAUACAUGCAAGUCGAGCGGACGGAUGGGAGCUUGCUCCCAGACCGUCAGCGGCGGACGGGUGAGUAACACGUGGGCAACCUGCCUGUAAGACUGGGAUAACUCCGGGAAACCGGGGCUAAUACCGGAUAACUCUUUCCCUCACAUGAGGGAAAGCUGAAAGAUGGCAUCUCGCUAUCACUUACAGAUGGGCCCGCGGCGCAUUAGCUAGUUGGUGAGGUAACGGCUCACCAAGGCGACGAUGCGUAGCCGACCUGAGAGGGUGAUCGGCCACACUGGGACUGAGACACGGCCCAGACUCCUGCGGGAGGCAGCAGUAGGGAAUCUUCCGCAAUGGACGAAAGUCUGACGGAGCAACGCCGCGUGAGUGAUGAAGGUUUUCGGAUCGUAAAACUCUGUUGUCAGGGAAGAACAAGUACCGGAGUAACUGCCGGUACCUUGACGGUACCUGACCAGAAAGCCACGGCUAACUACGUG